AGGUUACUGCUAUCGGUGUUCGCUUAAGCCAUGCGAGUCAUAUGUUCUUCGUGAACAUGGCGUACUGCUCAGUAACACGUGGAUAACCUGCCCUUGGGUCCGGCAUAACCCCGGGAAACUGGGGAUAAUUCCGGAUAACGCACAUAUGCUGGAAUGCUUUAUGCGUCAAAUGGAUUCGUCCGCCCAAGGAUGGGUCUGCGGCCUAUCAGGUAGUAGUGGGUGUAAUGUACCUACUAGCCUACGACGGGUACGGGUUGUGAGAGCAAGAGCCCGGAGAUGGAUUCUGAGACAUGAACCCAGGCCCUACGGGGCGCAGCAGGCGCGAAAACUUUACAAUGCGGGAAACCGUGAUAAGGGGACACCGAGUGCCAGCAUCAUAUGCUGGCUGUCCGGGUGUGUAAAAUACACCUGUUAGCAAGGGCCGGGCAAGACCGGUGCCAGCCGCCGCGGUAACACCGGCGGCCCGAGUGGUGAUCGUGAUUAUUGGGUCUAAAGGGUCCGUAGCCGGUUUGGUCAGUCCUCCGGGAAAUCUGACGGCUUAACCGUUAGGCUUUCGGGGGAUACUGCCAGACUUGGAACCGGGAGAGGUAAGAGGUACUACAGGGGUAGGAGUGAAAUCUUGUAAUCCCUGUGGGACCACCUGUGGCGAAGGCGUCUUACCAGAACGGGUUCGACGGUGAGGGACGAAAGCUGGGGGCACGAACCGGAUUAGAUACCCGGGUAGUCCCAGCCGUAAACGAUGCUCGCUAGGUGUCAGGCAUGGCGCGACCGUGUCUGGUGCCGCAGGGAAGCCGUGAAGCGAGCCACCUGGGAAGUACGGCCGCAAGGCUGAAACUUAA
rnacentral:rRNA from 1 species